GAGUUUGGCCUGCUCAGUGAGAUUUUUAACAGCUGCGGUAUUAUAACUGUACUAAGGUAGCAUAAUAAUUUGCCUUAUAAAUUAGGGCUAGAAUGAAUGGUUUGACGAAAAUUAUACUGUCUCUAUUUUAAUUGAUAGAAAUUAAUUUUUAUAGUGAAAAAGCUUAAAUAGUUUAAAGGGACGAGAAGACCCUAUUGAGCUUUAUAUUAGUUGUAAUAAAAUAUAAUUUAUUUAAUUAAUUAAAUUUAUGUUUAUUAUGUUUAAUUUUGGUUGGGGUGAUCAAGGAAUAAGAUAAAUAUUAUUUAACUUCCUUAAAGAAUUAAUUUUUUAGAAUAAUUAACCAAUGAUAUUGCUUAUAUGAUAAGUUACCAUAGGGAUAACAGCGUAAUUUUUUUGGAGAGUUCAUAUUAAAAAAAGAGAUUGCGACCUCGAUGUUGGAUUAAAAUAACCAUAUGGUGAAGAGGCUUUAUAUGGUGAAUCUGUUCGAUUUUUAAAAUUUU
rnacentral:rRNA from 1 species